GACGAACGCUGGCGGCGUGCCUAAUACAUGCAAGUCGAACGCAGUGGGGACGGGUGAGUAACCCGUGGGUAACCUCCCAUCAGAGGGGAUAACACUUGGAAAUAGGUGCUAAACCGCUACUGAUGGACGAACCCGCGGUGCAUUAGCUGGUGGGUGAGGUAACGGCUCACAAAGGCCACGAUGCAAAGCCGACCUGGGAGGGUGAUCGGCCACACUGGGACGAAGACACGGCCCAGACUCCAACGGGAGGCAGCGGUAGGGAAUCUUCGACAAUGGACGAAAGUGUAACCGAGCAACGCCGCGGGAGUGAAAAAGGUUUUCGAAUGGUAAAACUCUGUUGUUAGGGAAACGGUAUCUAACCAGAAAGCGACGGCUAACUACGAGCCAGCAGCCGCGGUAAUAC
rnacentral:rRNA from 1 species